rnacentral:rRNA from 1 species
UACGGAAGGCAGCAGUGGGGAAUAUUGCACAAUGGGCGAAAGCCUGAUGCAGCUAUGCCGCGUGUAUGAAGAAGGCCUUAGGGUUGUAAAGUACUUUCAUCGGGGAGGAAAAACAAAACUAAUAAUUUUAUUUCUUGACGUUACCCGAAAAAGAAGCACCGGCUAACUCCGUGCCGGCAGCCGCGGUAAUACGGAGGGUGCUAGCGUUAAUCAGAAUUACUGGGCGUAAAGAGCACGUAGGUGGUUUUUUUAAGUUCAGAUGUGAAAUCCCUGGGCUUAACCUAGGAACUGCAUUUUGAAACUGAAAUACUAGAGUAUCGUAGAGGGAGGUAGAAUUCUAGGUGUAGCGGUGAAAUGCGUAGAUAUCUGGAGGAAUACCUGUGGCGAAAGCGGCCUCCUAAACGAAUACUGACACUGAGGGUGCGAAAGCGUGGGGAGCAAACAGGGAUUAGAUACCCGU